rnacentral:rRNA from 1 species
GGGUUGUGAGGUUAAGCGACUAAGCGUACACGGUGGAUGCCCUGGCAGUCAGAGGCGAUGAAGGACGUGCUAAUCUGCGAUAAGCGCCGGUAAGGUGAUAUGAACCGUUAUAACCGGCGAUUUCCGAAUGGGGAAACCCAGUGUGAUUCGUCACACUAUCAUUAACUGAAUCCAUAGGUUAAUGAGGCGAACCGGGGGAACUGAAACAUCUAAGUACCCCGAGGAAAAGAAAUCAACCGAGAUUCCCCCAGUAGCGGCGAGCGAACGGGGAGGAGCCCAGAGCCUGAAUCAGCAUGUGUGUUAGUGGAAGCGUCUGGAAAGGCGCGCGAUACAGGGUGACAGCCCCGUACACAAAAGCGCAUGUGCUGUGAGCUCGAUGAGUAGGGCGGGACACGUGGUAUCCUGUCUGAAUAUGGGGGGACCAUCCUCCAAGGCUAAAUACUCCUGACUGACCGAUAGUGAACCAGUACCGUGAGGGAAAGGCGAAAAGAACCCCGGCGAGGGGAGUGAAAAAGAACCUGAAACCGUGUACGUACAAGCAGUGGGAGCCCCACCACCAAAGCAUUCUCUGGUGUUGAAGGCCCUGCAAAGCAGCAUCGCGGUGGCGGAGCGUCGUUUGCGACGCCCAACACACAAAACAAGCGGUGAGUGCUUUGGGGUGGGGUGACUGCGUACCUUUUGUAUAAUGGGUCAGCGACUUAUAUUCUGUAGCAAGGUUAACCGUAUAGGGGAGCCGUAGGGAAACCGAGUCUUAACCGGGCGUUAAGUUGCAGGGUAUAGACCCGAAACCCGGUGAUCUAGCCAUGGGCAGGUUGAAGGUUGGGUAACACUAACUGGAGGACCGAACCGACUAAUGUUGAAAAAUUAGCGGAUGACCUGUGGCUGGGGGUGAAAGGCCAAUCAAACCGGGAGAUAGCUGGUUCUCCCCGAAAGCUAUUUAGGUAGCGCCUCGUGAAUUCAUCUCCGGGGGUAGAGCACUGUUUCGGCUAGGGGGCCAUCCCGGCUUACCAACCCGAUGCAAACUGCGAAUACCGGAGAAUGUUAUCACGGGAGACACACGGCGGGUGCUAACGUCCGUCGUGAAGAGGGAAACAACCCAGACCGCCAGCUAAGGUCCCAAAGUCAUGGUUAAGUGGGAAACGAUGUGGGAAGGCCCAGACAGCCAGGAUGUUGGCUUAGAAGCAGCCAUCAUUUAAAGAAAGCGUAAUAGCUCACUGGUCGAGUCGGCCUGCGCGGAAGAUGUAACGGGGCUAAACCAUGCACCGAAGCUGCGGCAGCGAACGUAUCACUUAAAGCGAUUCAGCGGGUUACGAUUGACGGAGCGAAGCGACGUCAAAGCGUAUACAAAG